UGCUGUUCUCUGAUGUCAGCCUCCUUCAGUUUCUUCUCCACGUCCUCGGGAAUCUCCAACUCCAUCAGGUUCUCCAUCCCCUGCUCUGGCUCAUCUCCUAUCAGCACCUGGAGAGAGAGUAGAUGGACGGAUAGACGCCAUAGAUAUUGGCAGAGGCAAAGAGACAGAAGAGGAGGUUGACAGAGAAAGCUAACAAGAGAAAAAGAGAGUGACCAAGCAAGAGGCUGCCUGGAUGUUGGAUAGUGGAUAAAACGCCACAAGACUGGCGCCGGGCUGGCAUCUUUCGGUUGAACCAGUUUACAUAACACCAGCUGCCUACCAGGAGAGAUGGACUAUUCUGGUGCAAAAUGAGAAUAACAAUUUUUCCACCCAGCCAAAACCUCUUCCCAUCCCCGGUAAAGCUUCUAGAUCCACCACUGGGACCCACCUUGA